GACGAACGCUGGCGGCGUGCUUAACACAUGCAAGUCGAGCGGAAAGGCCCUUUCGGGGGUACUCGAGCGGCGAACGGGUGAGUAACGCGUGAGUAAUCUGCCCUUGGCUUUGGGAUAACCACCGGAAACGGUGGCUAAUACCGGAUAUGACGCGCCCCGGCAUCGGGGUGUGUGGAAAGUUUUUUCGGCCAUGGAUGUGCUCGCGGCCUAUCAGCUUGUUGGUGGGGUAAUGGUCUACCAAGGCUUCGACGGGUAGCCGGCCUGGGAGGGUGACCGGCCAAACUGGGACUGAGACACGGCCCAGACUCCUAAGGGAGGCAGCAGUGGGGAAUAUUCGACAAUGGGCGAAAGCCUGAUCGAGCGACGCCGCGUGAUGGAUGAAGUCCCUCUGGGACGUAAACAUCUUUUGUAGAGGAGAAAGCGCAAGCUGAUAGUACUCUAAGAAUAAGGGGUUGCUAAACUCGUGCCAGCCGCCGCCGUAA
rnacentral:rRNA from 1 species